UUUAGCUUGAGCAUUCAGGGUAAUCAUUUAGCCUACCUACUAAAAAUACAAACAUGUGAAUUAUCUCAAAUGUUUUGACAGAUGUCUAGUUUAUGGAAAAUUAAACAGACUACUCCGCUGAAAACAGCUAAAAACACAGAAAAGCCCCUGGAUAUGGUGCAGUGUGUUGGUAAAGCAGUCCUACAGCCUAUCUCAGGAGCCAGACCCAACAACACAGAAAAACAUACUCCAAACCAAGUCAGAACAAAACAGAUAAGACAUGUUAUCAGAAGCAGGCCAACAUGCUUGAAGCCAUCUUUAAAGAAUGAGAACACUACAACGCUUUGCAUCUGUCCACGAAAACUUUCCAGUUUGUGGCAAAUUAAACAGACUACUCUGCUGACACCAGCUAAAAACCUGGAAAAGCCCCUGGAUAUGGUGCUGUGUGUUGGUAAAGCAGUCCUACAGCCUAUCUCAGGAGCCAGACCCAACAACACAGCAAAACCAACUUCAAACCAAAUAUGUUGUCCAAUCAGAAGCAGGCCAGUAUGCUUGAAGCCAUCCCUAAAGCAUGAGAACACAACAUUUC